CCAAUAGCGUAUAUUAAAGUUGUUGCAGUUAAAAAGCUCGUAGUUGAAUUUUAGGCCUGACCGGACGGUCCGUCUCUGGCGAGUACUGUUCUGUUGUCGGGUCUAUCCUUCUGGUGAGCCGGUAUGCCCUUUAUUGGGUGUGUCGGGGAACCAGGACCAUUACCUUGAAAAAAUUAGAGUGUUUAAAGCGGGCUUUUGCUUGAAUAGAUUAGCAUGGAAUAAUAGAAUAGGACGUUGGUUCUAUUUUGUUGGUCUAGGACCACCGUAAUGAUUAAUAGGGAUAGUUGGGGGCAUUAGUAUUCAAUUGUCAGAGGUGAAAUUCUUGGAUUUAUUGAAGACUAACUACUGCGAAAGCAUUUGCCAAGGAUGUUUUCAUUAAUCAAGAACGAAAGUUAGGGGAUCGAAGACGAUCAGAUACCGUCGUAGUCUUAACCAUAAACUAUGCCGACUAGGAAUCGGGCGACGUUAUUUUCAUGACUCGCUCGGCGCCUUAUG
rnacentral:ncRNA from 2 species